rnacentral:ncRNA from 1 species
UACUAAGCGAAGAAUGAUCGAAGUAGUCCGAGCUUCCCUGUUUAAGAGAGCCAAUGGUUGGUGUGAAUUGGUAUAUAGGCUUGGGUGAAUUACAAUCAGGAGCUUUUCUUUGUGAUAAGCAAAGAACGGGAAUACCGUUAUAUAAUGAAGUGGGAGAAAGUUUUAUUUCUUCAACAAGGGUGGUAACGCGAGACCUCGUCCCUUUU